rnacentral:rRNA from 1 species
AGUGAACGCUGGCGGUAGGCCUAACACAUGCAAGUCGAACGGAAGCACAGUAAGAGCUUGCUCUUACGGGUGGCGAGUGGCGGACGGGAGAGGAAUACAUCGGAAUCUACUUUUUCGUGGGGGAUAACGUAGGGAAACUUAAGCUAAUACCGCAUACGACCUACGGGUGAAAGCAGGGGAUCUUCGGACCUUGCGCGAAUGAAUGCGCGGAUGGCGGAUUAGCUAGUUGGGGGGGUGAAGGCCAACGAAGGCGAGGAUCCGUAGCUGGUGUGAGAGGAUGAUCAGCCACAUUGGAACUGGGACAGGCACCUUGCUCCUACGGGAGGCAGCAGUGGGGAAUAUUGGACAGUGGGCGCAAGCCUGAUCCAGCGAUACCGCGUCGGUGGAGAAGGCCUUCGGGUUGUAAAGCCCUUUUGUUGGUAAUGAAAAGCUUCAGCUUAUUACCCCGCUGGUCUGACGGUACCCAGUGAAGAAGCACCGGCUAACUUCGUG